rnacentral:siRNA from 1 species
UCAAUUAUUUUUUAAGGUAGCCA